GAUGAACGCUGGCGGCGCGCCUAACACAUGCAAGUCGAACGAUUAAAGCACCUUCGGGUGUGUAUAAAGUGGCGAACGGCUGAGUAACACGUGGGCAACCUGCCCCUCUCAUUGGGAUAGCCACGGGAAACCGUGGAUAAUACCGAAUACUUCGGGACUUCCGCAUGGAAGACUCGAGAAAGCUCCGGCGGAGAGGGAUGGGCCCGCGGCCUGUUAGCUUGUUGGUGGGGUAAUGGCCUACCAAGGCAAUGAUGGGUAGCUGGGUUGAGAGACCGACCAGCCAGAUUGGGACUGAGAAACGGCCCAGACUCCUACGGGAGGCAGCAGUGGGGAAUCGUGCACACUGGGCGAAAGCCUGAUGCAGCGACGCCGCGUGCGGGAUGAAGGCCUUCGGGUUGUAAACCGCUUUCAGCAGGGACGAGGCGAAAGUGACGGUACCUGCAGAAGAAGCCCCGGCUAACUACGU
rnacentral:rRNA from 1 species